AUUCACCUGGUCAGCGUCAGGAACCAUCCUCCCUGAAGCCUCGGCUCCCUCUUUCCCUUCGGUCGCCGUGGGUGUGCCGGACACCUCUGGCAGGACUAACCCUGUGGUUUUUAUGUCCAACGUGCUGUGUGCCUGCAGGUAAGAAAAGCUGGGAGUGCAGUCCCUCUGCUUUGCUUGCUGUGUCUCUUGGGUAGUGAUUUUGGAGGGGAAUCCCAGAGCUAUUUGGUUUGAAGGGGAUCUUCAAAGGCCACCCUGCCUUCCGUGGGCAGGGACACCUUCCACUCUCAUCCCCGGCUGGAUGCUCCAAGUCCCAUCCAGCCUGGCCUGGAACACUUGCAGGGAUCCAGGGGCAGCCUCAGGUUCCCUGUGCAGUGUGCAUUUAAUAGCUCUCCACUGUCAUCAUGAAAAAUUUUGUCAGCACGUUUUGUUGGACGAUGGCAAGCAGGACCUGGGUGAAAAUUGGGGUUCUCAGAGGUGCAGAGGGAAAUAAUUCUCCUUUGAAGUCCAAUGUAAUCCAGUUUUGCACGAGUCUUGUCUGCCUUAUGUUUGAAUUGCUUUCUCUUCCAGGAAGUUUUAAAUUAAACUUUUAUUUUGUGUCUCCCCCCCAGUAUCCUGUCCAAGACCAAGCUACCUUUCCUCGUGGGAAUGGACUGGCCGGGCUUUGGCAGUCUGGCCCCUCGAAAGUCUUAAGUGACCUCUUCCAACAGGGGAAGACUGAAGCAAGCGGUGCCAGAAAGAACUGGAGUUUCUGGAGAAUAAAAGCUGGAGGCGUGCCCCCGAUAAUCCUCGCCCCGGGUGGUGAGUGGUCUGACUUGCACGGACCGGUGGCCUUGGCCAGGAGCGGUCCUGCCGGACUGUAAUUUUAAUUUCCUGCCCAGGCUGUAAUUUUAAUUUCCCUUGGAUGCUUGGCAAAGCCCUUCUGGGGGAGCCCUAGUGCCUGGCAUGAGCGGAGCGGGCUUCCAGGGAGGCAUUCACCUGGUCAGCGUCAGGAACCAUCCUCCCUGAAGCCUCGGCUCCCUCUUUCCCUUCGGUUGCCGUGUGUGUGCCGGACACCUCUGGCAGGACUAACCCUUGACUUUUAUGUCCAACGUGCUGUGCUGCGUGUGCCUGCAGGUAAGAAAAGCUGGGAGUGCAGUCCCUCUGCUUUGCUUGCUGUGUCUCUCAUCAGGUUUUCCAGCCAAGAAGAACAAGGAGAGAGAUGAGGGAAUCGGGUUCCAAUUCCUAAUGAUUUGGUGUGUGCAGGAAUGAUUUCUGUGUGUUUUCCAGUCCCUUUUGAUUCCUGAGAUGAUUUUAAAAUGAUGGCUUUAGCAAUCAACUAAAUCGUAGAUGUUGUUUUUGAGAGGAAAUGAUGCCAAAUAAAUGCCGAGUUUUGGGUCAGUUUUUGGGAUGAUUUGGGUCAGUUUUUGGGGUCAGUUUGGGGUCAUUGUUUGGGGUGAUUUGGGUCAGUUUUGGGUCAGCUUUUGGGAUGAUUGGGGUCAGGUUUUGGGGUCAGUUUUGGGUCAGCUUUUGGGGUGAUUUGGGUCUGUUUUGGGUCAAUUUUUGGGGAGCACUGGGUGUUACUGGGGGUUUUUUGGGAGCACUGGGUGUUUCCUGGGGAGCACUGGGUGUUACUGGGGGUUGUUGAGGAGCACUGGGUGGUUGUUGGGGUGCA